rnacentral:rRNA from 1 species
CGCCUUUUGAACACUAUAAAAGGUAACGCCUGCCCAGUGACAAUUUGUUUAACGGCCGCGGUAUUCUGACCGUGCGAAGGUAGCGUAAUCACUUGUCUUUUAAAUAAAGACUAGUAUGAAUGGCAUCACGAGGACUUAACUGUCUCCCCCCUCCAAUCAGUGAAACUGAUUUCCCCGUACAAAAGCGUGGAUAAAUACAUAAGACGAGAAGACCCUAUGGAGCUUAAAACCAAAAACCACUUGUUUAACCUACUACAUUAAUGUAAUACUAAAAUAACAAGCCUUGUCCAGGUUUUUAGUUGGGGUGACUGUGGAGAAAAAUAAAUCCUCCAUGUAGACUUAAGCUUUGAGUUACCACUCUAUGUAUUAGCAAGCCUAACUUCACUUGAUCCAAUAAUUUGAUCAACGGACCAAGUUACCCUAGGGAUAACAGCGCAAUCCAUUUCAAGAGUCCAUAUCGACAAAUGGGUUUACGACCUCGAUGUUGGAUUAGGACAUCCAAGUGGUGCAGCCGCUGCUAAGGGUUCGUUUGUUCAACGAUUAAAGUCCU